rnacentral:rRNA from 1 species
GAGUUUGAUCCUGGGUCAGGAUGAACACUGGCGGCGUGCUUAACACAUGCUAGUCGAACGGGGAACAUUUUUAUGGAAACUUCGGUGGAAAUAGAUUGUUCCUAGAGGCGGACGGGUGAUUAACACAUGGGUAACCUGCCUCACACUGGGGGAUAACUGUCUAAAAUGACUGCUAAUACCGGAUAACCGGACGGGGCCGCGUGGGACAAUGUGAAAAACUCCCGUGGUGUGAGAUGGACCCCCCUGGGAUUAUCUAGUUGGCAGGGCAGCGGCUUACCAAGGCGACGAUCCAUAGCCGGCCUGAGAGGGUGAUCGGCCUCAUUGGGACUGAGACACGGCCCAGUCUCCUACGGGAGGCAGCAGCGGGGAAUAUUGCACAAUGGGGGAAACCCUGAUGCAGUGACGCCGCGUGAAUGAAGAUGUAUCUCGGUAUGUAAACUUCUAUCAGCACGGGAAGAUAAUGACGGUACCUGAAAUAAGAAGCCCCGGCUAACUACGUGCCAGCAGCCGCGGUAAUACGUAGGGGGCAAGCGUUAUCCGGAUUUACUGGGUGUAAAGGGAGCGUAGACGGCUCAGCAAGUCUGUUGUGAAAGGCAGGGGCUUAACCCCUGGACUGCAUUGGAAACUGCUGUGCUUGAGUUCCGGAGGGGUAAGCGGAAUUCUUAGUGUAGCGGUGAAAUGCGUAGAUAUUAGGAGGAACCCCAGUGGGGAAGGCGGCUUACUGGACGGUAACUGACGUUGAGGCUGGAAAGCGUGGGGAGCAACCAGAAUUAGAUCCCCUGGUAGUCCACCCCGUAAACGAUGAAUGCUCGAUGACAGGGAGCAACAGCUCUCUGCGUGCCGCCGCAAAGGCAUUAAGUAUUCCACCUGGGGAGUGACGUUGCGCAAGAAUGAACACUUCAAAAGGAAUUGACGGGGACCCGCACAAGCGGUGGAGCAUGUAGGUUUAAUUCGAAGCAACGCGAAGAACCUUAUCCAAGUCUUGGACAUCGUUCUGACCGGUACUUAACCGUACCUUCUGUUUGGAGCAGGAGUGACAGGUGGUGCAUGGUUGUCGUCAGUUAGUGUCGAGAGAGGCUGGGUUAAGUCUCGCAACGAGCGCAAUCCUUAUCUUUAGUAGCCAGCGGUCAGGCCGGGCACUCUUGAGAGGCUACCAGGGAUUACGUGGAGGGAGGCGGGGAAGAGGUCAAAUCAUCAUGCCCCGUACGACUUGGUCUACGCACGUGUUACAAUGGGCAAACAAAGGGAAGCAAAUCCGGAUACCCGAGCAAAUCUCAAAAAUAAUGUCUCAGUUCGGAGCCUAGUAUGCAACCAGAGAACAAGAAGCUGGAAUCGUUAGUAAUCGCAGAUCAGAAUGAUGCGGUGAAUACGUUCCCGGCUCUUGUACUCACCGCCCGUCA